UAGGGCUAUUUUGUGACUUGUUCUUGCUAUUGAAAAGUGAAACUCAGAAAUAAUCCCUUUGCAAUUUACUUAUAUUCACCUCACUGUUACUACUUACAGUUCUGAGGAGUUAAAGUUGAACAGAAAGAGAAAGCAGAGAGCAGUAUGUGAGCUUAGUUUCUCAUUUUGUUUAUCUUUUUCUCCUCCUCCUUUAGCCAGCUGCCAAAGGAGCAGACCCCGUGAUGUCUGGGAUGUAAAUGCAGCCGUGACUUGAGACUGGGACAAGAGGUGCUAUCAAGACAGCAUUCAUCAGUGGCUGAGAAGGGAGGCCUGAAUCACUAGCCAGUUUGCUGCAUCAACACACUUGCCCAGUCCCACUGCCACAAGUUUUCUUUCCACCCAUCCUCGUGGAGAUGCUACAAGGGUUUAGUGGUCUGUCUGGCUACAAGAGCUUGGAGUCAAACGUCUACUCAGCAUGCAGUUCUUCAAGACACAAGGUGCCAUCUGAGAAUCUCCAAUAGCAGCGGUGGAUGCACGUGGUUAAUGAAAUGCUCUUUUGGAACUCUUAUCAUCAAGUUCAAACCUGGUGUGGUAGGUGUGAAGCUAUAAGGUAGGAGCCUAUGAAUCCAGACCAGUCAUUGGAAUACCAUAUGGAGCCUGGCAAUGAUAUUACACAAGUGAGUGCUUUUGUAUGGGUGUAUUGACAUUUAUUUAGAAAUUUGGAAAAAUGACAGAGUGGCUCUGAAUUAAUGACCUUCCAGCUAAGUCAUGCUUACGUAGGGCAGGGGCUCAAUUGAAUCAAAAGGUAAUUGCCAUUUGGAAGGCAAAUUGUCAAUGAUCAGUACCUUCUUUUCAUAGAUGUCCAUGAAGACUUAUCUCAGCAAAGCCCCUCAGGAGACCAGCAUGUUGGUGAAGCAUUGACACAGGCUGCCCCGAUGGUGGUCCCUGGAGGUGUUCAAGAGCCAUGGAGAUGUGGUACUGAGGGACAUAGUCAUUGGGCAUGGUGGGGGUGGGCUGACAGUUGGACUAAAUAAUCUUUCUGGUCUUUUCAAGCUUU
rnacentral:lncRNA from 1 species